GAUGAAUGCUGCUUCGAUGCAAAUCAACCAGAGGGAAGAAAAUGCAAACUGAAACCUGGGAAACAGUGCAGUCCAAGUCAAGGUCCUUGUUGUACAGCACAGUGUGCAUUCAAGUCAAAGUCUGAGAAGUGUCGGGAUGAUUCAGACUGUGCAAGGGAAGGAAUAUGUAAUGGCUUCACAGCUCUCUGCCCAGCGUCUGACCCUAAACCAAACUUCACAGACUGUAAUAGGCAUACACAAGUGUGCAUUAAUGGGCAAUGUGCAGGUUCUAUCUGUGAGAAAUACGGCUUAGAGGAGUGUACGUGUGCCAGUUCUGAUGGCAAAGAUGAUAAAGAAUUAUGCCAUGUAUGCUGUAUGAAGAAAAGUAAGGCUUUUAAAAACACAGGAGUAUAAAAUCUGCCUCAAACUAUUAUUUUCUCUUAAAUUUUAAGUGUAA
rnacentral:sRNA from 1 species